GACGAACGCUGGCGGCGUGCCUAAUACAUGCAAGUAGAACGCUGAAGAGAGGAGCUUGCUCUUCUUGGAUGAGUUGCGAACGGGUGAGUAACGCGUAGGUAACCUGCCUUGUAGCGGGGGAUAACUAUUGGAAACGAUAGCUAAUACCGCAUAACAAUGAAUGACACAUGUCAUUUAUCUGAAAGGGGCAAUUGCUCCACUACAAGAUGGACCUGCGUUGUAUUAGCUAGUAGGUGAGGUAACGGCUCACCUAGGCGACGAUACAUAGCCGACCUGAGAGGGUGACCGGCCACACUGGGACUGAGACACGGCCCAGACUCCUACGGGAGGCAGCAGUGGGGAAUAUUGCACA
rnacentral:rRNA from 1 species